AACCAGACUCCUACGGGAGGCAGCAGUCGAGAAUCAUUCACAAUGGGGGAAACCCUGAUGCAGCGACGCCGCGUGUGGGAAGACGGUCCUCUGGAUUGUAAACCACUGUCCCCAGGGACGAAGAUGACGGUACCUGGGGAGGAAGCUCCGGCUAACUACGUGCCAGCAGCCGCGGUAAUACGUAGGGAGCGAGCGUUGUCCGGAAUUACUGGGUGUAAAGGGAGCGUAGGCGGGACUGCAAGUUGGGUGUCAAAUCUACCGGCUCAACCGGUAGCCGCACUCAAAACUGCAGUUCUUGAGUGAAGUAGAGGCAGGCGGAAUUCCUAGUGUAGCGGUGAAAUGCGUAGAUAUUAGGAGGAACACCAGUGGCGAAGGCGGCCUGCUGGGCUUUUACUGACGCUGAGGCUCGAAAGUGUGGGGAGCAAACAGGAUUAGAUACCCCAGUAA
rnacentral:rRNA from 1 species